rnacentral:rRNA from 1 species
AGCAGCCGCGGUAAUUCCAGCUCCAAUAGCGUAUAUUAAAGUUGCUGCAGUUAAAAAGCUCGUAGUUGAAUUUCGGGACCAUCAUGUCGGUCGUGCCUCGGUACGUACUGGCAUUGUUGGUUUCUCCCUUCUGACGAACCAUGAUGUCAUUUAUUUGGUGUUGUGGGGAAUCAGGACUGUUACUUUGAAAAAAUUAGAGUGUUUAAAGCAAGCUAACGCUUGAAUACAUUAGCAUGGAAUAAUGAAAUAGGACGUUCGAUCCUAUUUUGUUGGUUUCUAGGAUUGACGUAAUGAUUAAUAGGGAUAGUUGGGGGCAUUAGUAUUCAAUUGUCAGAGGUGAAAUUCUUGGAUUUAUUGAAGACUAACUACUGCGAAAGCAUUUGCCAAGGAUGUUUUCAUUAAUCAAGAACGAAAGUUAGGGGAUCGAAGACGAUCAGAUACCGUCGUAGUCUUAACCAUAAACUAUGCCGACUAGGGAUCGGAUGAUGUUGAUUUUUAAUGA